AGCUCUUUGGCCUGAGUGUUCAGUAAAUCCUUCAAGGACUGAUAAGUAUGACAAGUCAGGUGUUAUGUAAAAAAUUUUUCUUUUUCGUGUCACAAAGAAAAAUUAGUACUGAGACAAAGGAUCUCUCAGCAAAGCCAUUCUUUUUUACUUCCUGCAGAAAGGGUACUCCCACUAGCAAUCUUGCCACGAGAGUACAACAGACAUAUUUAUUUCUUACGAAUCUGGGGUCAUCCUUACUGCUGUAUCUGAUAUUCAUUAGCUGGAGACCGACCUCACAAUCUAAACUAAAACCCGAUUGGCUAAUAAUCUGAAACUUUACUAAACAGGUGAAAGCAAUGGAGAGCAAACAAAAGGAAGUCCAAAUAAAGAAGGGUCAUAGGCUGCGAGCUGGGACAUGCCUGUGAGCACAACCAGCACAGAUAUUUCGGUUAAAGUACAAGGACAUAGAAUGUAUUACGUUCCUGUAAGCAUGUCUAACAGCUAUAUUGGAUAGGGCUUUUAGGAAAAAGGCAAGAAGACUUUUGAAGAAAGUGUUUAAAACAAACUAUUAUUUCUAACACCUAUGAAUUUUUCUCAAACAAGAAAGGAAACUUUGAAGAGGAAACUUUUUUUUACUUCCUACAUCAGGGAAGAUUCCCAGGACAGCAAGAAAGUGGAAGACCUUUUCAUGAUGUGGAGGACUUGGGCACAGAAGCAUGGACCCAGCACAUGGGACCUUUUGCUGGAUCUGUUUCUGUUGAGGCUUCUGCUCAGAGCUGAGGCUGUGGGAAUGAAACCAGAGAGGGUGCCAGAUGGCAGGGUGUGGGAAGUCUCAGGCUGGAAAAGGAUGGCCAAAAUAAACAAGCGACUGGAGGUCUGAAAAAUGAAUAGAUAAACAUCCAGACCAAAGUCAACAGUGCUGGAGAGUCCAACCCGGUCUCUGCAGCCAGGGAGGUUUUGACAUGUGAGUUCAGUCUCAAGUCCUUGAAAGAACUUGUUUGCAUCUGAUUCGUAAGCAUCCCUGCCUUUGAGGGGGCUUGUGGGGAGAGAUCACACAGUUCCUGUAGCAAUUCAGGAAUCAUUAGAUUUUUCAGCAACAUGCCUUUCUAUAAGGUUUCUGCUUAAAAAUCAGUAGAUGACUGGAUAUUCAUUGAUACUAAAGACGUAAUGUUAAGUUUUUUGAGUAUAAGAAUAGUAUUUUUGAAAUAAUUUUUACAUUUUUAAAAGUUUUUUUUUUUAGACGGAGUCUUGCUCUCUCACCUGACUGGAGUGCAGUGGCGAGAUCUCGGCUCACAGCAACUUCCACCUCCUGGGUUCAGUGAUUCUCCUGCCUCAGCCUCCCAAGUGGCUGGGAUCACAGGCGUGCACCACCACGCCCAGCUAUUUUUUCAUAUUUUUGGUAGAGACAGGGCUUCACCAUGUUGGCCAGGCUGCUCUAAAACUCCUGGCCUCAAGUGAUCCACCAGCCUUGGCCUCCCAAAGUGCCGGGAUUACAGGCAUGAGCCACUGCGUCUGGCCUUUAAAAGAAUCUUUAUCAUUUAAAACUACAUAUUGAACAAGAUGAAGUGAUACAAUGUUGUGCAUUUUCUUCAAAAUCAUCUGGGAAUGAAGGCUGGGGAUUGGCCAAAAAUUGACAAUUUUGAGCUUGCAGAACAUUAUAUUAUUUCCUCUACUUUCAUAAAUAAAAUUUGUUCAUAAUACAACAGCUUAAAUAAAAGUUGUCAAAGAUGCUUUUAUUUUUGUCUCAU
rnacentral:lncRNA from 1 species